rnacentral:lncRNA from 1 species
UAUUAUUUCAGGUUAGUGAACUAAUUUAUUUUUUUUCUGUUUUACUCUUUAGUAUAAUACGCAUUGUGACCUUUUAGCUGAUGUGUAUAUUAUAAGAGCAACAACAAAUCUAUUUUCCUUCUUUAUAUCCAAAUCACCAAGAAGCUUUAUUGUUGGAAUAUUAACUCCAUCAAAGAAGAGAUUUUGUCUAUGUCAAUGGAACUGCAGCAACUAAAGAUUAAAGGAUGGAGUCUAGAUUGAACAGGAAAAGAGGGAAAAGCAAAGGAUGCAAAGGUGGUGGAAAAUAUUGAACCAUGUGCUUGUCUCCAGACUCCAAAGGCAAAGAAAACAGAGAGAGGCUAAAGGAAAUACAUAUUGUGCUCCCAUCCCUGGAGUAUAGUAAUGCAGUUCUAGUGAUAGUAUUUCUUUUCUUUACCAUUUUUCUCCAGUCUGACUGGCCAGAGUUGAAAAUAUGUGUCACUUUGCAGCUACUGGAGUCCUUAUGUUGGCCCAGAAGAAAUCACAAGUGAAGCUAAUGUUCAAGAAGCAGAAGAAAGAUCCUUCCCACCAUUCCUGACCAGAGGAAAGGGCUUUUGGGACACCAUCUGUCCUACUGCUCCCAGCCCAGAGGAGAGGGCUUUGGGACACCAUUUGUCCCACCGCUCCCGGCCCAGAGGAAGGGGCUUCUGAGAUGCCAUCCCAGUGCUUCUGGUCCAGAGGAAGGGGCUUCUGGGCCACUAUCUAGCCCACAGCUCCCGGCACAGAGGAAGGGGCUUCUGGGCCACUAUCUAGGUCACUGCUCCCGGCACAGAGGAAGGGGCUUCUGGGCCACCAUCUCUCCUACCACUCCUGGCCCAGAGGAAAGGAUUUUUGAGCCACCAUCCCUACCACCGCUUCUGGCCCCUGUCCCACCUCUCCCAGCUCAGAGGAGAUGAGCCCCGCAAGCACCAACAACACAACAUCCCAUCCCCAUUCAAAGGAGAAGACACAUAAAUAAGAUGCAAAACAAGACUUCCACAUCACCUACAGCAACCCCAAAGGGAAACAAGAUGGAACAUUCUGAUAUUCAACCACCUGGAC